GACGAACGCUGGCGGCGUGCCUAAUACAUGCAAGUAGAACGCACAGUUUAUACCGUAGCUUGCUACACCAUAGACUGUGAGUUGCGAACGGGUGAGUAACGCUUAGGUAACCUGCCUGGUAGCGGGGGAUAACUAUUGGAAACGAUAGCUAAUACCGCCUAAUAUUAAUUAUUGCAUGAUAAUUAAUUGAAAGGUGCAAUUGCACCACUACCAGAUGGACCUGCGUUGUAUUAGCUAGUAGGUGAGGUAGCGGCGCAUCUAGGCGACGAUACAUAGCCGAACGGAGAGGGUGAGCGGCCACACUGAGACUGAGACACGGCACAUAGUGCUACGGGAGGGAGCAGGAGGGAAUCUUGGGGCAUGGACGGAAGUCUGACCGAGAUAGGCCGCAGGAUGGUAGAAGGUUUUCGGGUGGGAGAGGUCGGUUGUAGGAGUAGAACGCGUGUGCGAGUGUAAAGUUCAGUCUGUGACGGUAUCUUACCAGAAAGGGACGGCUAACUACGUG
rnacentral:rRNA from 1 species